UACGAAGGGGGCUAGCGUUGCUCGGAAUCACUGGGCGUAAAGGGUGCGUAGGCGGCGGGGAAAGUCAGAUGUGAAAUCCGGAGGCUCAACCUCCGAAUUGCAUCCGAUACUCCCUCGCUAGAGAUUUGUAGAGGAGCUUGGAAUUCUCGGUGUAGCAGUGAAAUGCGUAGAUAUCGAGAAGAACGCUCGCAGCGAAGGCGAAGCUCUGGGCAAAUUCUGACGCUGAUGCACGAAGGCUAGGGGAGCAAACGGG
rnacentral:rRNA from 1 species